UAUUGUCAUGUUAUCUGUGUGCCGUUUUUUGACCUUUUUAUGGACAUUUGUAAUAAUAUCAUCCAUUGUCUAAACCUUGAUAUGGUUUUUGAACGCAGUCGGCGCACCACGUAUGCCCAUCUUAAAUUUGGACGCAUUCAAAUUUUGUCGCAAACUCCUACGGUGCGGGUAUCACAAGCGAUCGCCGCAACGCACGCAUCGCAUUUAGUUAGGACAUACCGUUAUAGAGGUUCGCUACUAUUUGAAAUCGGUGUUGAAUAAAAAGUUUGGAAUUAGGAUUGGAAAAGACGAAAUGGAACCAGAGGAAUUAUUAGAUCACAACAAUAAAAGACCUAUAAGUUGAUCCAUAAUAGUGAGCGAGUGGACUAAAAGUCUAUUAAGGCUUAAUGUGAAUUAAAAAUGGGUCUCGAGAAACCAACAAGAGAAACUCUAUGAAAAAAAGGUUAAAACCAAAUAUCCCCUGACUGAUGAAUAGAAGGAAUAGUAAAAAAUCUAGAGAAAAAGUCAGUGAAGUCUGAUGAAAAUAGCUUAAAAAUAAGUAUAAUAGUCCAAAGAGAAUAUUAGGAAUCUUUUUUUGGACUAUUAGAAAAUGUAGCAAGGAAUAAGCAAAUAGCGAGAAUUUUGAAUUCCAAAUAUGUUAUGGAGCAUACUUUUUGUACGAUUCUCAAUUUACAUUUAUUUCAAGUUUCGUUUGGUUAAAUAAUUUACCGCUUCGGCUCUAGAUACCUUAAUUAAGUUUUUAAGCAUCACUGCUAAAUGACAGCAUGGUAUAAAAGUGAAAAUAAUACUCAUUUGCUUAUAUGGUUUUUAUUC
rnacentral:lncRNA from 1 species